rnacentral:rRNA from 1 species
UACGGAAGGCAGCAGUGGGGAAUAUUGCACAAUGGGCGCAAGCCUGAUGCAGCCAUGCCGCGUGUAUGAAGAAGGCCUUCGGGUUGUAAAGUACUUUCAGUCGUGAGGAAGGUGUUAAGGUUAAUAACCUUAGCAAUUGACGUUAGCGACAGAAGAAGCACCGGCUAACUCCGUGCCAGCAGCCGCGGUAAUACGGAGGGUGCGAGCGUUAAUCGGAAUUACUGGGCGUAAAGGGCACGCAGGCGGUUAAUUAAGUUGGAUGUGAGAUCCCCGGGCUUAACCUGGGAAUGGCAUUCAAGACUGGUUAGCUAGAGUCUUGUAGAGGGGGUAGAAUUCCAUGUGUAGCGGUGAAAUGCGUAGAGAUGUGGAGGAAUACCGGUGGCGAAGGCGGCCCCUGGACAAGACUGACGCUCAUGUGCGAAAGCGUGGGGAGCAAACGAGGAUUAGAUACC